rnacentral:rRNA from 1 species
CGCAUGGUUCAAAAGUGAAAGACGGUCUUGCUGUCACUUAUAGAUGGAUCCGCGCUGCAUUAGCUAGUUGGUAAGGUAACGGCUUACCAAGGCAACGAUGCAUAGCCGACCUGAGAGGGUGAUCGGCCACACUGGAACUGAGACACGGUCCAGACUCCUACGGGAGGCAGCAGUAGGGAAUCUUCCGCAAUGGGCGAAAGCCUGACGGAGCAACGCCGCGUGAGUGAUGAAGGUCUUCGGAUCGUAAAACUCUGUUAUUAGGGAAGAACAUAUGUGUAAGUAACUGUGCACAUCUUGACGGUACCUAAUCAGAAAGCCACGGCUAACUACGUGCCAGCAGCCGCGGUAAUACGUAGGUGGCAAGCGUUAUCCGGAAUUAUUGGGCGUAAAGCGCGCGUAGGCGGUUUUUUAAGUCUGAUGUGAAAGCCCACGGCUCAACCGUGGAGGGUCAUUGGAAACUGGAAAACUUGAGUGCAGAAGAGGAAAGUGGAAUUCCAUGUGUAGCGGUGAAAUGCGCAGAGAUAUGGAGGAACACCAGUGGCGAAGGCGACUUUCUGGUCUGUAACUGACGCUGAUGUGCGAAAGCGUGGGGAUCAAACAGGAUUAGAUACCCUGGUAGUCCACGCCGUAAACGAUGAGUGCUAAGUGUUAGGGGGUUUCCGCCCCUUAGUGCUGCAGCUAACGCAUUAAGCACUCCGCCUGGGGAGUACGACCGCAAGGUUGAAACUCAAAGGAAUUGACGGGGACCCGCACAAGCGGUGGAGCAUGUGGUUUAAUUCGAAGCAACGCGAAGAACCUUACCAAAUCUUGACAUCCUUUGACAACUCUAGAGAUAGAGCCUUCCCCUUCGGGGGACAAAGUGACAGGUGGUGCAUGGUUGUCGUCAGCUCGUGUCGUGAGAUGUUGGGUUAAGUCCCGCAACGAGCGCAACCCUUAAGCUUAGUUGCCAUCAUUAAGUUGGGCACUCUAAGUUGACUGCCGGUGACAAACCGGAGGAAGGUGGGGAUGACGUCAAAUCAUCAUGCCCCUUAUGAUUUGGGCUACACACGUGCUACAAUGGACAAUACAAAGGGCAGCGAAACCGCGAGGUCAAGCAAAUCCCAUAAAGUUGUUCUCAGUUCGGAUUGUAGUCUGCAACUCGACUACAUGAAGCUGGAAUCGCUAGUAAUCGUAGAUCAGCAUGCUACGGUGAAUACGUUCCCGGGUCUUGUACACACCGCCCGUCACACCACGAGAGUUUGUAACACCCGAAGCCGGUGGAGUAACCUUUUAGGAGCUAGCCGUCGAAGGUGGGACAAAUGAUUGGGGUGAAGUCGUAACAAGGUAGCCGUAUCGGAA